rnacentral:rRNA from 1 species
AGCCUACGGGGCGCAGCAGUGAGGAAUAUUGGUCAAUGGGCGCAAGCCUGAACCAGCCAAGUCGCGUUAGGGAAGACGGUCCUAUGGAUUGUAAACCUCUUUUGUCGGGGAGCAAAGCGCGGUACGAGUGCCGUGAAGGAGAGUACCCGAAGAAAAAGCAUCGGCUAACUCCGUGCCAGCAGCCGCGGUAAUACGGAGGAUGCGAGCGUUAUCCGGAUUUAUUGGGUUUAAAGGGAGCGUAGGCCGCAUGUCAAGCGUGCUGUGAAAUGUCCGGGCUCAACCCGGGCCUUGCAGCGCGAACUGGC